AUUGAACGCUGGCGGCAUGCUUUACACAUGCAAGUCGAACGGCAGCGCGGGCUUCGGCCUGGCGGCGAGUGGCGAACGGGUGAGUAAUACAUCGGAACGUGCCCAGUAGUGGGGGAUAGCUCGGCGAAAGUCGGAUUAAUACCGCAUACGACCUGAGGGUGAAAGCGGGGGAUCUUCGGACCUCGCGCUAUUGGAGCGGCCGAUGGCAGAUUAGCUAGUUGGUGGGGUAAAGGCCUACCAAGGCGACGAUCUGUAGCUGGUCUGAGAGGACGACCAGCCACACUGGGACUGAGACACGGCCCAGACUCCUACGGGAGGCAGCAGUGGGGAAUUUUGGACAAUGGGCGAAAGCCUGAUCCAGCAAUGCCGCGUGUGUGAUGAAGGCCUUCGGGUUGUAAAGCACUUUUGGCGGGAACGAAAAGGACUGUGCCAAUACCACGGUUCGAUGACGGUACCCGCAGAAUAAGCACCGGCUAACUACGUG
rnacentral:rRNA from 1 species